AUUGAACGCUGGCGGCAGGCCUAACACAUGCAAGUCGAACGAGUGGCGGACGGGUGAGUAAUGUCUGGGAAUCUGCCUGAUAGAGGGGGAUAACUACUGGAAACGGUGGCUAAUACCGCAUACUAUCAGAUCUGCCCAUAUGGGAUUAGCUAGUUGGUGGGGUAAAGGCUCACCAAGGCGACGAUCCCUAGCUGGUCUGAGAGGAUGACCAGCCACACUGGGACUGAGACACGGCCCAGACUCCUACGGGAGGCAGCAGUGGGGAAUAUUGGACAAUGGGCGAAAGCCUGAUGCAGCCAUGCCGCGUGUAUGAAGAAGGCCUUCGGGUUGUAAAGUACUUUUAGCGGGGAGGCGUUACCCGCAGAAGAAGCACCGGCUAACUACGUGCCAGCAGCCGCGGUAAUUC
rnacentral:rRNA from 1 species